rnacentral:lncRNA from 1 species
GUUUUCAGCAAAUCCACCCUCGCUCCCAGCUCUCGCAGGGCGCGAUAACACCGGAGCCCUCUGAAAGUUUGAGAAAGAGAAAGGGGGAGAAGUAGGGAGAAAGAAAAUAAAGAGCAACAGCUAAGGAAGAUAGAGAAGUUCCUGCAGGAGCUGGACACUGCAGAGGAGGAAAGGAGCGGUCAAAUCUCCGCGCAAAACCCUCCCUGGGCAAAGCCCGGAGCCCGGGCGGUACCUGCGGAGCCGAGCCCCGUUUCCCCCGCCCCGGCGCCGGGCUCAGGAGCUGCCAACCUCCCUGCUCCGGGGGCCGGAGAGGCCGCCGUUCAAGACAAUGCCUAUUUUCUGUCAUUAAUAACUCGUUUCUUUGGAAAAAAAAAAAAAUCUCGUUUGGAUCCAAGAUUGUUUUUUAUGAUUCAGUUGGACAAGACGGAACACAUGUUAGUUUAAGCAGGUUCAUGAAAUAGCUGUAAAUCAAAUAAAGUUUACGAG